AAUUAUAAAAUUAAAUAACAAAAAUUCACAAUAUGUAGUAGGGGUACAUGUAUAACUGUCAGGUCUAAUUGCUGUUUCAAAAUUAUGACUAUCAGGGACCCCAGCAGAAAUUUCUCCUGAGCACCGCAAAAUCUCUUGGCAGCCCCCGGUAUACAUUAAAAAACUCUGACAGGGCCACAUACUACAUUGGUCAUUCUUAUUAUUCGGGCAGGGUGGUUAAUUAAUGUAAUGUGCAAUGUGUAAUUAUAUUAACUAACUGAUUACAUUUAAAACACUAAUUUUUGGAUUAAUGAAUAACUUUAAUGUAAAAAUAAUUCCACUUAAUUUCCACUAAUGAAUAACUUUUAUGUAAAAAUAAUUCCACAAUAUAAAUAAAUUGAUAUUCUCUUCAAUAUUCUGAUAUUAAUGUGAAUAUUCUCAAAUUAACAUAAUCAACAGAACAAGCCUGGGCCACCCAUAAGUCAACUUAUUUUAUACCAAGUGUCAAAGUUCAUGGGUUUUUUUUACAUCUCUAUAGAUGAGAACGUAUCAUGCGAAAGUCACAAAAUUCAACUGUCUCCUAGCAACAGCUCAAAGUGGUGGACAUUACUUUUAUUCCAAGUUUAUAAACAUGCAUGCCGGGAAGUAUGCUUUGAAUUUCAUGUUAACCCAGGGUUAAGCUUUGAACUAAGAACAACCAGCCCCGGAGUUAUAGAAAAAUUAUGGAAAUUUCCCAUUUUGUUUUGUUUUCUUUGACAUUUGGUAUAUAAUAAAAUACUUAUUGCCUGAAGGAACAGUAUGUUUUGUGGACCCCCAACUCAGGGAAACCAUGGCUGUCUCGGGUCCACAAAACACCUCAGUCACAGUCAAUAAGUGUUAAUUAUUUGGGAGUUUCCUAAGCCAAACAAGGCUGUGAAAAGAUCAACACUCCCCUAUGGGGGAAAUUUAUGUUGUCUG
rnacentral:lncRNA from 1 species